rnacentral:misc_RNA from 1 species
CAAUAGACCAAUUUUAGUUUUUAAGAAGUAGGUUGUAAUGUGGACAUCUGAACCAAAUACAGAAGCCAUCAGCUGCCCUUUUUUUGUUUUGUUUUUGUUGAGUUCAACAUGUGGGGGUUGAGGAGAUUCGAACUUUUCUGUAGAAGUAGUUGUGAUGUUAUAUAAUAUUACAUAUCCCCGAGAUGGUAAAGAGUGGCUGUUUUAGAAGGGUG